rnacentral:tRNA from 1 species
GGAGAAUUAGCUCAAUGGUUGUGUGCUUGCACCUAGUAGGUGCAAGGCUGUGGGUUCAACUCCCAGCAUCUCUA